CCCUUAGAUGUUCUGGGCCGCACGCGCGCUACACUGAUGCAUUCAACGAGUUUCUUCCUGGUCCGAGAGGAAUGGGUAACCUUUUGAAAGUGCAUCGUGAUAGGGAUAGACUAUUGCAAUUAUUGGUCUUCAACGAGGAAUUCCUAGUAGACGUAGUUCAUCAGACUGCAUCGAUUACGUCCCUGCCCUUUGUACACACCGCCCGUCGCUCCUACCGAUUGAAUGCUCAGGUGAGCCAUUCGGACUUUCAUCAUGCUGGUUUCCAGUUUUGAUCAAGGAAAGUCUUGCGAACCUUAUCAUUUAGAGGAAGGAGAAGUCGUAACA
rnacentral:rRNA from 1 species